rnacentral:rRNA from 1 species
AGAGUUUGAUCAUGGCUCAGGACGAACGCUGGCGGCGUGCUUAAGACAUGCAAGUCGAACGAGAAAGCCUCUUCGGAGGUUAGUAAAGUGGCGCACGGGUGAGUAACACGUGGGUAAUCUGCCCUUAGGUUUGGGAUAACCCCGGGAAACCGGAGCUAAUACCGAAUAAGACCACGAUGACUUCGGUCGAUGUGGGAAAAGGUGGCCUCUUCUUGAAAGCUAUCACCAGAGGAUGAGCCUGCGUCCCAUCAGCUUGUUGGUGAGGUAACGGCUCACCAAGGCGACGAUCAAUAGCUGAUCUGAGAGGAUGAUCAGCCACACUGGAACUGAGACACGGUCCAGACUCCUACGGGAGGCAGCAGUCGGGAAUAUUGGGCAAUGGGCGAAAGCCUGACCCAGCAACGCCGCGUGAAGGAUGAAGGCCCUAGGGUCGUAAACUUCUGUCGAGAGGGAAGAAUGCUUGCGGGUUAAUAUCCCGUAAGUUUGACGGUACCUCCAAAGGAAGCACCGGCUAACUCCGUGCCAGCAGCCGCGGUAAUACGGAGGGUGCAAGCGUUGUUCGGAUUUAUUGGGCGUAAAGCGAGUGUAGGCGGUUUGACAAGUCGAAUGUGAAAUCCCGAGGCCCAACCUCGGAACUGCAUCCGAAACUGUCAGGCUAGAGUCCCGGAGAGGAUGGCGGAAUUCCCGGUGUAGGGGUGAAAUCCGUAGAUAUCGGGAGGAACACCAGUGGCGAAGGCGGCCAUCUGGACGGUGACUGACGCUGAGACUCGAAAGCGUGGGUAGCA